rnacentral:rRNA from 1 species
ACACGUGGGUAACCUACCCAUCAGAGGGGGAUAACACUUGGAAACAGGUGCUAAUACCGCAUAACAGUUUAUGCCGCAUGGCAUAAGAGUGAAAGGCGCUUUCGGGUGUCGCUGAUGGAUGGACCCGCGGUGCAUUAGCUAGUUGGUGAGGUAACGGCUCACCAAGGCCACGAUGCAUAGCCGACCUGAGAGGGUGAUCGGCCACACUGGGACUGAGACACGGCCCAGACUCCUACGGGAGGCAGCAGUAGGGAAUCUUCGGCAAUGGACGAAAGUCUGACCGAGCAACGCCGCGUGAGUGAAGAAGGUUUUCGGAUCGUAAAACUCU